UACGUAGGUGGCGAGCGUUGUCCGGAUUUACUGGGCGUAAAGAGCGCGCAGGCGGUCGUACAAGUCGCGUGUGAAAGCCCCCGGCUCAACUGGGGAGGGUCACGCGAUACUGAUCGACUCGAAGGCAGGAGAGGGAAGUGGAAUUCCCGGUGUAGUGGUGAAAUGCGUAGAUAUCGGGAGGAACACCAGUGGCGAAGGCGGCUCACUGGCUCGGUACUGACGCUGAGGUGCGAAAGCGUGGGGAGCAAACAGG
rnacentral:rRNA from 1 species